CAAUAGCGUAUAUUUAAGUUGUUGCAGUUAAAAAGCUCGUAGUUGGAUUUCGGGUGGGACGCAGCGGUCUCGCAUUGCGUUUGUACUGCUGCAGCCCUCCUUCUUGCCGGGGGCGGCCUCUCGGACUUCACUGUCUGGGGGUCAGAAUCGGCGAUGUUACUUUGAGUAAAUUAGAGUGUUCAAAGCAAGCUUACGCUCUGAAUAUAAUAGCAUGGGAUAACACGACAGGACUCUGGCCUAUCGUGUUGGUCUAUAGGACCAGAGUAAUGAUUAAGAGGGACAGUCGGGGGCAUUCGUAUUCCGUUGUCAGAGGUGAAAUUCUUGGAUUUACGGAAGACGAACAUCUGCGAAAGCAUUUGCCAAGGACGUUCCCAUUAA
rnacentral:rRNA from 1 species